UACGUAGGGUGCGAGCGUUGUCCGGAAUUAUGUGGCGUAAAGAGCUCGUAGGUGGUUUGUCGCGUUGUUCGUGAAAACCUGAGGCUUAACCUUGGGCGUGCGGGCGAUACGGGCAGACUGGAGUACUGCAGGGGAGAAUGGAAUUCCCGGUGUAGCGGUGAAAUGCGCAGAUAUCGGGAGGAACACCGGUGGCGAAGGCGGUUCUCUGGGCCUUACCUGACACUGAGGAGCGAAAGCGUGGGGAGCGAACAGG
rnacentral:rRNA from 1 species